AUCUCCCUAGCAACGAGAAUUGAAAUGUAAUAGUUUAGUAUUACUAUCAAGCCAUCAGCACUCCAGAAAGAAUGAGUGGUAACCCUAACUGCUGUUAGGGGCUUUCUGGGUGAUGACUCUUUCUGGCUACUUCCUGCUGAAAAGGGGCAUCAUGUGCAGAACAGCAGCUAGCGCUCCUCCUGCGGCAGAUUCAAGGGUUCUUGGAAGAAAGAAUCACCUGGGGCUCCUCUGCUGUAAUGGCAGUUUGAAGCACUGGAGCUGGGAGUUCAUCUGACAAAGGGCUGAUAUCCAGAAUUUACAAAGAACUCAAACAGAUUUACAGGAAAAAAACAAGCCCAUUCAAAAAUGGCCAAAGGAUAUGAACAGACACUUUACAAAAGAAGACAUACAUGAGGCCAACAAACAUGAAAAAAUGCUCAUCAUCACUGGUCAUCAGAGAGAUGCAAAUCAAAACCACACUGAGAUACCAUCUCACGCCAGUUAGAAUGGCGAU
rnacentral:lncRNA from 13 species